rnacentral:lncRNA from 1 species
AUGCCUGCACCUACCACUGUUUCCUGGCUCAAAAUGCAAGGCUCGUUCUGUCCAUUGCUCUCAAUUUUAAACUGUCAUGCUUCUUGUCAUCCUGCUGUGGGCUGUUAUUAUGCUCUGCUUUGUUCAUUCAAAACACCUACAUAUUGUAAAUGCAUAUCUGAAUUAAAUUUCUUCCAGAAUCUCCAAUUGCUGUGUGUUUUGAUGAACACAGCACAGCUGAUUUUAAAAGAUGAGAAUCAGUGGGAGUUCAAGGACUUGGUUGGCAGUGAUGCUAAUAGAAGAGAGUGCUCACAGUGGUGGAGUUGUCUCAGAACCAAGACAUCUUUUUGUUGUUCUUGUUGCUGUUUUCUUAUUCUCCACUGGAUUCAUUCAGGACUGAAGACGAAUUUGCUUCUCAAGAGGUAUAACUGCAUUUGAAUAAAAUGGUUUGUUGAUUAUUUUGAAAACAUACUGAACUCCUUUGUCUCUUGCU